rnacentral:snRNA from 1 species
UCUCUUGUGCUCGGGCGCGUACUCUCGACAGUGAGGGAAACCGAGUCACAGUUAUUUGCUAUUUGAAAACUGAAGUUCAUACUUGUCCGGACCUUUAUGGUCUCGGCAAUUUUUGUCACACACCCUCUCCUCCUCCCCCCUCCGCUGCUUUAUGGUGU